rnacentral:rRNA from 1 species
UACGGAGGGUGCAAGCGUUAAUCGGAAUUACUGGGCGUAAAGCGUGCGUAGGCGGAAUUUUAAGUCUGAUGUGAAAUCCCCGGGCUUAACCUGGGAACUGCAUUGGAUACUGGGAUUCUAGAGUAUGGUAGAGGGUGGCGGAAUUUCUGGUGUAGCGGUGAAAUGCGUAGAUAUCAGAAAGAACACCAAUGGCGAAGGCAGCCACCUGGGCCAAUACUGACGCUGAGGUACGAAAGCGUGGGGAGCAAACAGGAUUAGAUACCCUGGUAGUCCACGCCCUAAACGAUGUCUACUUGUCGUCGGGAGGGCUAAACCUUUCGGUGACGGAGCUAACGCAUUAAGUAGACCGCCUGGGGAGUACGGCCGCAAGGUUGAA